rnacentral:rRNA from 1 species
GAUGGAAGUUUGAGGCAAUAACAGGUUGACUACGUGUCACAUCCCCUCCGGGGGAUUUUCACAGGCUUGUAAAAGCGGGCUCCGACAGGAGCAGCGACCUCAUUAAAUAAACCGCUAGUUCAUCCCUUUAUGCACUUGGGAAGUGAUUGCCCGCUACGUGGAGUGCAAGAUAAUAGUAUUAUCUCUGGGGGAGCAAGGUAAGCUUGAUCGGGAAACCUAAAGCCUNGAAUGCGAGGUNGGAGGUGAUCCCGAGUAGAGGCAGAGUAUCAACUGCCCUAUGUAGAGCUCGNAAAGCUACCGGUUGUUUUUUCAGUAAAACACCUGCUCAAGGGACGAGCCAGCCCCCCGGCCAACGGGAGCUUCUUGGAUUAGGGCGCGUACCCAAAGUCCACGGAACGGCAUGGCCGUCGAUGCAGGUAUAUCUGCCACUCGAUUGUUACGGCCAUGUGGAAGUCACGAUUAUUAUUUGUAAUAAGAGGACGACUUGCUGUGAUGCCCUUAGAUGUUCUGGGCCGCACGCGCGCUACAC